UACGAAGGGGGCUAGCGUUGCUCGGAAUCACUGGGCGUAAAGCGCACGUAGGCGGAUUGCUAAGUCAGGGGUGAAAUCCUGGAGCUCAACUCCAGAACUGCCUUUGAUACUGGCGACCUUGAGUCCGGGAGAGGUGAGUGGAACUGCGAGUGUAGAGGUGAAAUUCGUAGAUAUUCGCAAGAACACCAGUGGCGAAGGCGGCUCACUGGCCCGGUACUGACGCUCAGGCACGAAAGCGUGGGGAGCAAACAGG
rnacentral:rRNA from 1 species